rnacentral:lncRNA from 1 species
AUGGGCAAAGCCGGAUAUUGUUUUAUUAGAAUAUAUUGGAUGCGAUAUCAAAGAAAAUUUCCCUUANNNNNNNNNNNNNNNNNNNNNNNNAAUUCUAUACUGACAUUUAUAUCUAUCUAUACAUUCAUAGUUUCGUGGACCUGGACAGACAAGGGCUCUCUAAACGUAAAAGCCCUCGGUGAUUCAGCUGAUAAGCGUUCCCUUGCUCGCCCCUUUACUGAGGCGCAAGAGAAGCGAGGACAUUCCUCCCCUAAUUCCAACCUGUUUCUUAACGNGGCGCAAUCAGGAUUCAAUAGAACCGGCCGGAGCUGUCCCGAGCCUGCGGCUGAUUGGCCGAGCGCAGAGCACCGGGCGUGGGCUUUGCGCAAGUUCUCCGCUCCCUGCUCGCAGGGCCACGGGAAGUCGGGGCGCGUUCGAGCAGCGGCUCUUCAAGACUCUCAGGAGCCGAGACCGCUGUUCGCAUCCCCCGCGUCUUUCCGCUGGAGUCUGAAUCUCUUCUUCAAAGGUUCACGCCUUGGUGAACAUUCCGAGGGAAAGCCCGAGGUCGCGAUGGAUCUUGAAGACGGCCGCAAUGGAAGAGCAGGGGGGGGAAAUUUCUUGAAAAGGGACAAAAAAAGGCAAUGAGUAUCUGACUCUGGUAGAAGUAAUUGUGAGACGCGUGUACUACCAAAGAAUUAUUAGAAUGGUGUAAAAUUAUCCUGACUAUGUAUAGAAUUGGUUCUGUAAUCACAUAAGAAAAAUAAA